GGCUGGCUGCUGGGCCGCUUCUUUCCUCGGGUAGAGGCGAGGAGAACAGCAGCUGAGCU
ensembl:miRNA gga-mir-1767 gga-mir-1767